AGUGAACGCUGGCGGUAGGCCUAACACAUGCAAGUCGAACGGCAGCACAGAGGAGUUUGCUCCUUGGGUGGCGAGUGGCGGACGGGUGAGGAAUACAUCGGAAUCUACUCUGUCGUGGGGGAUAACGUAGGGAAACUUACGCUAAUACCGCAUACGACCUACGGGUGAAAGCAGGGGACCUUCGGGCCUUGCGCGAUUGAAUGAGCCGAUGUCGGAUUAGCUAGUUGGCGGGGUAAAGGCCCACCAAGGCGACGAUCCGUAGCUGGGCUGAGAGGAUGAUCAGCCACACUGGAACUGUGACACGGUCCAGACUCCUACGGGAGGCAGCAGUGGGGAAUAUUGGACAAUGGGCGCAAGCCUGAUCCAGCCAUACCGCGUGGGCGAAGAAGGCCUUCGGGUUGUAAAGCCCUUUUGUUGGGAAAGAAAUCCAGCUGGCUAAUACCCGGUUGGGAUGACGGUACCCAAAGAAUAAGCACCGGCUAACUUCGUGCCAGCCGCCGCCGUAA
rnacentral:rRNA from 1 species